ensembl:lncRNA novel transcript
CAUCUGAGAGUUGUUAUUUCCUUUGACGACAAAACAGAAAGCAUGUGUCCUUCCUCCUGCUGAGUGGCAAAACAAGAUGCCCAUCCUACACACUGUCCAGAACAGCAGGUCCUCACAGUCUUCUCAGAAAAUCCAGGCCGAAUGAAGAGAAAAAGGAAGGCCAAUGCCAGCCAGUUGCAUCUUUCAUAGAAUGAGUUAAGCAUUGGCCUAGCAUAAGGUACACAGGCAGGCUGACAUGGCUGAUGGGCUCCUGAUGCCACAUCAUUAGUACUCUGAAUGACUCAGAUACUGUUAUUUUCUGGUAGGUCAUGUUGACUUGAGAUCUAGAAGAAACACUGGUCCAGAAGUCAUAAUGCCUGGGUUUCAAUGGAUCCAAUAAUAGCUACCACUUAUGGGGUCCUUGCUGUGUUUUAGAUCUUCCUGGGCACUUUUUAUACAUCAUGUCAAGUAUCUCUUUUGGAAUAAGAUAUGAAUUUCUGUGCCUAUAAAUUUUAUAUAUAUUUCUAUUUUACAGGCAAUUUUACAGAUAUCUCCAUUUUACAGAUAAAGACAUUGAGGCUCUGACUGCUAUAUGCUCAAUAGUAUGCUAGUCCCUCCCGGAAAUAGAUUAAGACUCUGACUUGGAUGAGUUUAAAAUCUCCUUAAGGAAGUGAGACUUUCCUGAAGCAAUCGGGGAAUCACACCCAAUAGCAUACAAAGUUAGAUGGAGAUGGAGUGUCCCGGCUGCAGAGAGUGGGAGUGAGAGUCACACCCAGCCUGAGAGGCCUGGAUUGCCAGGAGAGACAAAUACCAAGGAGAUAUCAGGAAGAAUAUUGUCCCCAGUAAAUACCAAGUCACAUCAGGAAGAAUAUUGUGGAGAGAGAGGUAAAGAAUCAGGAUGGAAACAGAAAAUAGGCCGAACAAUGGCCAAGCGUCAAAAUCCUACGUCAGGACAGUGCUAGGACUGCUUUUUUCUAUAUCAGACACGUGGGCUCCUGCUGUGUCUUCCUGGAAAGCAGAGGCCAAGGAUGGAGCAGACCAAGAGGAUGCCAGGAAAAAUCACAAAGAAGCCCAGAAAGCACAGCUGGAAGCCAAGAACCCUAUUUUUGGUUUGUGUGGGUGGAAGGUGAGGGACAACAUAUAGUGACCAACAGGAUUCUUCAUUUGAAAGAGAAUGGAGUACAUCAGACCUGUGUAUUUAGGUGAAGUAUGAUAAACAUCAUCAUACUUCAAAGAUUAUGAACAUCAAAGAUUAUGGAAAGGAACAUGACUGCUUAGUUUAUUCCA